UGGGAUCCAAGGAUCAGAGAAGGGGGUGAGAAGGUUCAGAUUGUCUGGAUCUAGCUCCUGGAUCAGAUGAUGGCCCUGUCCUCUCCGUGACCUCCUCCAACACCGCUGGCUUCACCUUUCCUGAAGAGAGGCAAUAAAUAUGGACUUCAUUGAAAUAUCGUGUGUCAAUUGGAUUUCAUGCCUUAAUCACACUGGCAGAGAAAAGAGUGUAGUGGCUGCUUUGGAGAAUGGAGGAAGCUGGAAAGAAGGUAAAGAGUGAAGAUACAAGAUGACAAUGGGAUGAGAUCCAGGGAAGAGAGAAGGUCAUAGAGCUGAGAAGGAAUUGACUUUUCUUCAUGUUAAGGGUGGCGGAGGGGAAGAAUUCAACUGAUUACUAGACAGGUGCAUCUGGAUCCAGGAAUAACAAACCAUAUGGUGUCCAACUCCUUCAAAAUGGUGUGCUGCGCAGAGAAAAGAUCACAAAUGCUGAUCAUCAAUAAAGAUCUGAUGUCCCAAGGACAAGUCACUGGACAAUUCUAGUCAUCUGUGGUGGAGGGCUAUAAAGAUUCUAGGAGACACCUUAGAGAACUUGUUCCAGGUUCAUGCUGCUGCCCAUCUCACAGGAAUGGAGUUAAAUAUAUAUAUGCUUCAGCUUACCAGUGUUUUUAAAAAAUCUGUAAAUGAUUUACUAUUUCCUUUGUGUUUGUCAUGUGGAUAAUUCUGGUAUUUGGCCAGAGAUCUAGGGUUGCAAAUCCUAGAGUUUUUUGUGGCUGAAGCUCCUGACCCAGACAUUCCUCCCAAGAGAAAUCAAUGAGGUUCAAGUAAGGCAAAGCACAUUUAGUAUUUCUAUGGAAUCCUUGAUUCAAAGACCAAUAUGGUUACCUGUUAUGGAGUUAGAGACUCCUCUUUACCUAAGUCCCUCCUGAAGUAAUUCUGUCUCCUUGCCCUUCCUGGCCCUGUCCAGUUUUGGCUUCUAUACCAUUCAGUUCUCAAUACCAGGGGAAGCAAAUCCAAGGAGGUGCAAAAUAGAGAGUAUCUUUUUUAGGAUCUAGCAUAUCUGUGGUUUAACCUGUAUGCCUCAGGGGAGCAUACUCAGUCACAGAGGUGAAAGAGUUACUUACUGAGGCUUGGAGUUUUAAUGUUUGUUUUAUAAAAAGCUCUAUUUCCUAGUUCUUUAGUUCUGUUAAUGUUUUUGAAUUUAACCCAAAAAUGAUGGUUAGGGGAAGUAAAGAGGAAGACAUCAAUAAGUAAUAAUUAUAGAGAGACAGGAUGGAAGAAAUAUAUCAAAGUAGUCAAGAGAGGUGGCUUUGUUCCCAGAUUGCCUAGAUUAAAACACUAUUUCUGUCACCUCCUAAUUUAGUCAAGUGCUUAAUGAUUUUGCUCUCCUGUUUUCACAUCUGUGAAAUGAAGAUAAUAAUAAUUGUAAGAAUUAAAGAGGCAAACGUUUAUAUGCUCUAGGUGCUUAACGUGUUUAUCAUUAUUCAGGCAUAUCAUUCCUCCAUGACCACAGUCAUGUUUCUAGGAAGUGGUCAUCAAUGUCCAGAAAAUUUUAAUAUUGACUUUACAGUGGACACAGGUACACUUGUUUGCCCUAACUGCUCAAAUUGACUGAUUUUAAAAAUAGGCAGACAAUAUACUAAGUUGUAAUGGCAAGUACAGUUGUUGGUAACGUAGAAUGUUUUGGUCUGAUUGGUCAGUUCUCUUUAUGUGAAAAAAAAAUUGGGGAGAGUAAAAUUGUAAAAAAAUUGGGUAGUAUUAUAUGUAAAUAUUAAAAAUUAUGUAUAAAUUGGGUUGUAGAAUUAUAAUCAGAAAGUUGAAAGAAAGACAAAAUUAGAUUUUGAAGAUAUUAUGUAAGGUAUUCAACUUUGAUCAAAUGCACUCAUCAUCUCUUCGAACAAACAUGUGUGUUGGUAGGUUAGAACUAUCUUUAUCAAAUGCCAUAGAAAACAUUAGGCAAAACUGUGCUUUUUAGGCUUCUUAUUUCUAGACUCCAAGUAAUCUGUCUCCAGUGCCAUUAAUAGUUUUCAAUUUCAGGUAGAAAACACUAACAUGGUUGACUUUUCAGGUUCAUUAAUUGCAGUCAUAGUGUAGUCUUAUUUUUCUGAGUUUACAUGCUGUUUUCCCUGAUUCAGUUCAGAGGUUUGCAAAUCUCAGGCACACAGUUUUAGAGAUACCAUUUUAGAGUAUCACUUGUCAAAUGUUAAUGAGCAUAGGAAGUACCUGGACAUCUUGUUGAAAAGCAGAAUGUGACUCAACAAGUCUGGAAUGGGACCUGAGUCUCUGAGCUUCUAACAAGCUCCAGGUGCUAUCAAUGAUAUUGGUCCAAAGAUGUACUGUAAGUAGUAAGUUUGUAGGUGACUUGUGCAUCCUAAUGUCCCCCAUUGCCUCUAACUUUUUCCUGUUAGAAAAAAAAUACAAUUUUUAAGUUCCGGAAAUGGCAUAUGAAGUGAGUAGUUGUACACAAGGUGUUCUCUUUUGUUUCCGACAGCGUAUCACUUCUCUGAUCAUUUCAUAUGUCUCUUAUUAGAAUGUUUAUGAGAGUGUUUUGUAAACUGUGAAGAGUUAUACAAACUAAGUGGCCUGCCUGCAUCAUUAACCAUCUCAUAAUAAAUAAAUCAUCCUGGCCAUGUAGGUUGUCCGUGUACCUGCUGCUGCUGCUAAGUCGCUUCAGUCGUGUCUGACUCUGUGUGACCCCAUAGACGGCAGCCCACCAGGCUCCCCCGUCCCUGGGAUUCUCCAGGCAAGAACACUGGAGUGGGUUGCCAUUUCCUUAGCAAAGCAAUGCCUGUUAUUCAUAGCAUCUGUCCUUGUAUUUUGACAUGGGUUUUUGUUUGAAUUCAUUGUUGUGUUUUGUGAAGUCUAGCACAGGGAGUGCCCCUUCCAAGGAAUGAGUCUUUUGUUUACACUUUCUGUGAACAUCUCUUUGAACAAAUUGCCAAAGUGUAUUUUUUGGUACACCACAAUCUCUGUUGUAAGUUGAUAUUUCAAACAUAUGCUCCAUAUUUGAUGAAAAUUUGUUUUGCUAUUUUCACUUGAUGGAGUAAUAAACAUCAUACUUGCUUUUAGACACUUU